rnacentral:rRNA from 1 species
AGUUUGAUUUGGGUCUUUGAACGCUGGCGGCAGGCUUAACACAUGCAAGUCGAGCGGGGAAGGGUAGCUUGCUAUCUGACCUAGCGGCGGACGGGUGAGUAAUGCUUAGGAAUCUGCCUAUUAGUGGGGGACAACAUUCCGAAAGGAAUGCUAAUACCGCAUACGCCCUACGGGGGAAAGCAGGGGAUCUUCGGACCUUGCGCUAAUAGAUGAGCCUAAGUCAGAUUAGCUAGUUGGUGGGGUAAAGGCCUACCAAGGCGACGAUCUGUAGCGGGUCUGAGAGGAUGAUCCGCCACACUGGGACUGAGACACGGCCCAGACUCCUACGGGAGGCAGCAGUGGGGAAUAUUGGACAAUGGGCGAAAGCCUGAUCCAGCCAUGCCGCGUGUGUGAAGAAGGCCUUUUGGUUGUAAAGCACUUUAAGCGAGGAGGAGGCUACCGAGAUUAAUACUCUUGGAUAGUGGACGUUACUCGCAGAAUAAGCACCGGCUAACUCUGUGCCAGCAGCCGCGGUAAUACAGAGGGUGCGAGCGUUAAUCGGAUUUACUGGGCGUAAAGCGUGCGUAGGCGGCUUUUUAAGUCGGAUGUGAAAUCCCUGAGCUUAACUUAGGAAUUGCAUUCGAUACUGGGAAGCUAGAGUAUGGGAGAGGAUGGUAGAAUUCCAGGUGUAGCGGUGAAAUGCGUAGAGAUCUGGAGGAAUACCGAUGGCGAAGGCAGCCAUCUGGCCUAAUACUGACGCUGAGGUACGAAAGCAUGGGGAGCAAACAGGAUUAGAUACCCUGGUAGUCCAUGCCGUAAACGAUGUCUACUAGCCGUUGGGGCCUUUGAGGCUUUAGUGGCGCAGCUAACGCGAUAAGUAGACCGCCUGGGGAGUACGGUCGCAAGACUAAAACUCAAAUGAAUUGACGG